UAAGUGAAGUGCACAGCUACUUACCAUUAAAUUGUCUUAUAUAUGCACCAAGGUUUAAUUAUAAUAUUUUCGGAAAAGACACUUGUAUAUGGAAGGAAAAAAAAGAUUCAAUGUGGAUAAUGAAACUGGAUAUAUUCAAUUUUUGUCUUUUAGUGAUCAUAUUUCAAGAUACAUGGUGUUAUCACAUUUCAAAUUCAACAUUUACGUGGACCAAGAAAAGAGAUGAAUGCAAGAUUGCGUCACCUACCAUACAGUAUGGUAAUCAAAACCUCAUCGUUGAUAUGCAUGGAAACAUUAUAAAGCAAGAGGUCUGGGUCGGUUACUAUCAACAAACUGCUUUAUUUGAGUAUAUUUGAUGCAUGAGUUCAGAGGACUUAAACAUAAUCAAAAUACAGCUUGGUACAAAGAAUAUCGGAUGGUGCUAUUCUGCUUGUUCCCACACGCCGUUUAUUGGGAUACAGAAACAAACGGUAUAAUAUAAUCGUGCAAUGAAUAAAGUUUAAAAAAGAUACAUAUAAACGAUAUGACAGAUCUAGUGACUUCUACAUAAGUAUAUAUGAAAGUUAUUUUGAUUGUAGUGUCUUAUAGAUUUACAUGAGUAUGAUCUAUUCUCUUUCUGACAUCGUAAACUAUUCGGUUAUUUUAAUGUUAUCUCACAACGGUAAAUACAAGAUUUUUCUUUAUUUUUUAAAUACCAUUAAUGCUUUUUAAAAUGCUAUUCUUAUGCAAAUUUAAAGUGAUUUCAAUAUGGUUAAAAAUACAGACAAGUGAAACAAUAAAAGUAAUGUAAGCAUCCGACACUAACACUGUUUUUGAAUUAUAGAACAAAUAUACAAAAAUAAACAUUUCAACUUUACGGGGUUAAAAAUGUAA